rnacentral:rRNA from 1 species
AUGGUACAGGAACUAACGUGAUCUACACACUGCAUAUCGUCGGCAGCGUCAGAUGUGUAUAAGGGAAAGAGAUUCGGGGAGUGUCGUAAUGACGAGAACUGAUUCGAGGCAGGAAUGGCUUUGCGUUAGCAGAGUUUUCCCAAAUCCAGGAGACCUUGAAAGCUCGUAUAGAAAGUGUUUGUCAAGAUCGUACCGAGAACCGACACAGGUGCGCUGGCUUAGAAAGCUAAGGUGCUACGGGUAUACCGUAUGGCGAGGGAAUUCGGCAAAUUAGUCCUGUAGCUUCGGUAUAAGGGAUGCCUGCUGUUUUAAUGAGGAAUUGGGACAGCAGGUUGCAAUGACUAGGGGGUUCCGACUGUUUAAUAAAAACACAGGUGACUGCUAGUCCGAAAGGAUUUGUAUAGUCACUGAAUCCUGGCCGGUGCAGGUACCUAAAACUUGGGUUCAACCGAGCUAAGGGCCUGUUAACGCCGGGAGUAACUCUGACUCUCUUAAGGUAGCCAAAUGCCUUGUCGGGUAAGUUCCGACGCGCAUGAAUGGAACAACGAGAGCCCCACUGUCCCCGCCUACAACCCGGUGAAGCCACAUAAGGUGGACGAACAGUCCAUCAUCUUCCAUCGGGGAGAGAAGACCCCGUGGAGUUUUACUGCAGCUUGUGCUUGUAGUAUAGUAAGGAUUACAUAGUGUAUCUGGUAGCCAUGCCUGAAUUUCUUUGGGAAUUCAGUGAAGCGACGAUGUAACACCAGAUUAUUCUUGCAGUACUUCUUAUCUGAUGCAAAUCAGAAACAGGUGCUGGUAGGCAGUUCGGCUGGGGCGGCACCCCUUUGAAAAGAUAUCAAAGGGGCCCAAAGUUUAGUUCAAACGGGUCAGAAAUCCGUUGAAGAGGGCAAAGCCAAAAACUAGACUGACAGGAUUUCCAAACGCACGGAAUUCUGAGACGAAAGUCUGGCUUAGCGAUCCUUCGUGUGCCCACUAUUGGGGCCCGGAGGUGACAGAAAAAUUACCCCAGGGAUAACAGGCUCGUCGCGGGCGAGAGCUCCUAUCGACCCCGCGGUUUGGUACCUCGAUGUCGGCUUUUCCUAUCCUGGUCCUGCAGCAGGGGCCAAGGGUGAGGCUGCUCGCCUAUUAAAAGGGAACAUGAGCUGGGUUUAGACCGUCGUGAGACAGGUCGGUCUCUGCCUGAUGGAAGCGCGGCUGUCUGAGGGGAAGUUGCUCUCAGUACGAGAGGAACAGAGCAACGUGGCCACUGGUCUACCGGUUGUCUGAUAAGGCAGGCCGGGCAGCUAAGCCAUUUGGAGUAAGUGCUGAAAGCAUCUAAGCACGAAAUCCAUCCCGAGACAAGACAGCCUUUCGUAAGAUGAAGGUUCGCAGAAGAAGACUGCGUUGAUAGGAUGGAUGUGUAGAUCACAAGCUUCGGCGAGUGAUGAGCAUGCCAUUACUAAUAGACCAACACAUCAGC